CCGGAUUGGGAAGGCCACUUAUAAAAAAUUGCAAGUUGGAGAGUGUGGUAAUGGCUGAUCGUGAGGUCGGAACCGUCAAGUGGUUCAAUGACGCCAAAGGUUAUGGAUUCAUUCAACGCGAUAGCGGUCCGGACGUGUUCGUUCACUACCGCGCCAUCCGCGGCGAGGGUCACCGCUCCCUGGUGGAAGGCCAGAAAGUGGAAUUCUCGGUGAUCCAGGGCCAGAAAGGCCUGCAAGCGGAAGACGUCUCCAAGGUCUGAUUCCCGCAAGCAAAAGCCCGUCGCGAGACGGGCUUUUGUCA
rnacentral:sRNA from 1 species